UUAGUGUAUACGCUCUGGCAGAGCCUGCCACAGUCACUUAAACCCUAAGAAAAUGGAGGGCCAAGAUUGUGGAUUAAACCAAAGUCUACAUUUCCUCUCUAAAAAAGGCCUAUUCAAGUCAAGGGAAUUUUUUAAGGCUCAAGCUCAAGACCUGGAGACACAGCCACCUCCGGCAUGUGUGAAGGGCCGGCUAAGCCCGGGAGUGCUGGUGAGGCUCUGCCUGGAUGCCUCCCUGGCGCCACACCUAGGCCUCAGCGGCAUCUAGAGGCCGAGGAUUCAGAGCUCUUCCCCGGAACAGAGCUUGGAGCCAGGCAGGACGGACGACCUGGCCGAGGUCAAGGCAGGGACAUUUCUCUUCACCCGCCUGGCUAAAUAUCAGAACCACACU